rnacentral:rRNA from 1 species
GAUGAACGCUAGCGGGAGGCUUAACACAUGCAAGUCGAGGGAUAACAUGAGGUAGCAAUACUUUGAUGACGACCGGCGCACGGGUGAGUAACGCGUAUGUAACCUACCUUGUACAGGGGGAUAGCCCGGAGAAAUUCGGAUUAAUACCCCAUAAUGAUAUCUGAAGGCAUCUUUAGGUAUUUAAAGUUUCGACGGUACGAGAUGGGCAUGCGUGACAUUAGCUAGUUGGUAAGGUAACGGCUUACCAAGGCUGCGAUGUCUAGGGGUCCUGAGAGGGUGAUCCCCCACACUGGUACUGAGACACGGACCAGACUCCUACGGGAGGCAGCAGUGAGGAAUAUUGGUCAAUGGGCGUAAGCCUGAACCAGCCAUCCCGCGUGAAGGAAGAAGGCGCUAUGCGUCGUAAACUUCUUUUCCGGAGGAAUAAAAUUUCGUACGUGUACGGGACUGAAGGUACUCCGGGAAUAAGCAUCGGCUAACUCCGUGCCAGCCGCCGCCGUAAAAC